rnacentral:rRNA from 1 species
UACCAGCACCCCGAGUGGUCGGGACGAUUAUUGGGCCUAAAGCAUCCGUAGCCGGUCCUACAAGUCUUCCGUUAAAUCCAGCUGCUCAACAGAUGGGCUGCGGAAGAUACUAUAGGGCUAGGAGGCGGGAGAGGCAAGCGGUACUCAGUGGGUAGGGGUAAAAUCCUCUGAUCCAUUGAAGACCACCAGUGGCGAAGGCGGCUUGCCAGAACGCGCUCGACGGUGAGGGAUGAAAGCUGGGGGAGCAAACAGG